AGUUGGCAGGCGGAGGGGGCGGUGACAAGGGACAAAGUGCCUGGAUGUCUUUGCUUGUGGGGUGGCAGCGCUGUUCCCACCAAUAGCGACUGCUCGGGGCUGGCUUUGUAGUUAUUUUUGCAAGUUCUGCCCAGUCCCGGUCAUAUUUCCCUGAAAAGCAAAAGAGGCCGCUGCAAUUUAUUCCAAUGGGCGGUUUUUAAGAAGCUGGCAAUUUGAACCGGCUGGGUGUUAUUUAGUGCAAUAUGAAAUCAAAUGAUCCUAUUUCUCAAAUAACAGUGUCUGUGAGGAGAAGUGAAUCCUCUGAAAGGGUAAUUGUCUGCUGAUGGUGUUUCCCAUUAUCCCGAUCUUGGCCUAAAUGAUGUUCGGCAGCAGGGCGGAGACUCGGGGUGAAAUCAAUGCGCGCUGACUGCUGACUCGCGCUCCGGACGUGUAGCCAGGCCGCGCAGCCAGGCCGCGCCGCCGGCGUCCCCACGCAUCCAGGAACAAUGCCACCCGAACCAGACACAGGGGUCAGCUCGUGUCUAAGACAAGCAAGGACCGGGAGCAUAACAGAAGGAAGGAAUUU
rnacentral:lncRNA from 1 species